rnacentral:rRNA from 1 species
ACUAAGCGUACACGGUGGAUGCCCUGGCAGUCAGAGGCGAUGAAGGACGUGCUAAUCUGCGAUAAGCGUCGGUAAGGUGAUAUGAACCGUUAUAACCGGCGAUUUCCGAAUGGGGAAACCCAGUGUGAUUCGUCACACUAUCAUUAACUGAAUCCAUAGGUUAAUGAGGCGAACCGGGGGAACUGAAACAUCUAAGUACCCCGAGGAAAAGAAAUCAACCGAGAUUCCCCCAGUAGCGGCGAGCGAACGGGGAGCAGCCCAGAGCCUGAAUCAGUGUGUGUGUUAGUGGAAGCGUCUGGAAAGGCGCGCGAUACAGGGUGACAGCCCCGUACACAAAAAUGCACAUGCUGUGAGCUCGAUGAGUAGGGCGGGACACGUGGUAUCCUGUCUGAAUAUGGGGGGACCAUCCUCCAAGGCUAAAUACUCCUGACUGACCGAUAGUGAACCAGUACCGUGAGGGAAAGGCGAAAAGAACCCCGGCGAGGGGAGUGAAAAAGAACCUGAAACCGUGUACGUACAAGCAGUGGGAGCACAGAGCAAUCUGUGUGACUGCGUACCUUUUGUAUAAUGGGUCAGCGACUUAUAUUCUGUAGCAAGGUUAACCGAAUAGGGGAGCCGAAGGGAAACCGAGUCUUAACUGGGCGUUAAGUUGCAGGGUAUAGACCCGAAACCCGGUGAUCUAGCCAUGGGCAGGUUGAAGGUUGGGUAACACUAACUGGAGGACCGAACCGACUAAUGUUGAAAAAUUAGCGGAUGACUUGUGGCUGGGGGUGAAAGGCCAAUCAAACCGGGAGAUAGCUGGUUCUCCCCGAAAGCUAUUUAGGUAGCGCCUCGUGAAUUCAUCUCCGGGGGUAGAGCACUGUUUCGGCAAGGGGGUCAUCCCGACUUACCAACCCGAUGCAAACUGCGAAUACCGGAGAAUGUUAUCACGGGAGACACACGGCGGGUGCUAACGUCCGUCGUGAAGAGGGAAACAACCCAGACCGCCAGCUAAGGUCCCAAAGUCAUGGUUAAGUGGGAAACGAUGUGGGAAGGCCCAGACAGCCAGGAUGUUGGCUUAGAAGCAGCCAUCAUUUAAAGAAAGCGUAAUAGCUCACUGGUCGAGUCGGCCUGCGCGGAAGAUGUAACGGGGCUAAACCAUGCACCGAAGCUGCGGCAGCGACGCUGAUGCGUUGUUGGGUAGGGGAGCGUUCUGUAAGCCUGUGAAGGUGUGCUGUGAGGCAUGCUGGAGGUAUCAGAAGUGCGAAUGCUGACAUAAGUAACGAUAAAGCGGGUGAAAAGCCCGCUCGCCGGAAGACCAAGGGUUCCUGUCCAACGUUAAUCGGGGCAGGGUGAGUCGACCCCUAAGGCGAGGCCGAAAGGCGUAGUCGAUGGGAAACAGGUUAAUAUUCCUGUACUUGGUGUUACUGCGAAGGGGGGACGGAGAAGGCUAUGUUGGCCGGGCGACGGUUGUCCCGGUUUAAGCGUGUAGGCUGGUUUUCCAGGCAAAUCCGGAAAAUCAAGGCUGAGGCGUGAUGACGAGGCACUACGGUGCUGAAGCAACAAAUGCCCUGCUUCCAGGAAAAGCCUCUAAGCAUCAGGUAACAUCAAAUCGUACCCCAAACCGACACAGGUGGUCAGGUAGAGAAUACCAAGGCGCUUGAGAGAACUCGGGUGAAGGAACUAGGCAAAAUGGUGCCGUAACUUCGGGAGAAGGCACGCUGAUAUGUAGGUGAAGUCCCUCGCGGAUGGAGCUGAAAUCAGUCGAAGAUACCAGCUGGCUGCAACUGUUUAUUAAAAACACAGCACUGUGCAAACACGAAAGUGGACGUAUACGGUGUGACGCCUGCCCGGUGCCGGAAGGUUAAUUGAUGGGGUCAGCGCAAGCGAAGCUCUUGAUCGAAGCCCCGGUAAACGGCGGCCGUAACUAUAACGGUCCUAAGGUAGCGAAAUUCCUUGUCGGGUAAGUUCCGACCUGCACGAAUGGCGUAAUGAUGGCCAGGCUGUCUCCACCUGAGACUCAGUGAAAUUGAACUCGCUGUGAAGAUGCAGUGUACCCGCGGCAAGACGGAAAGACCCCGUGAACCUUUACUAUAGCUUGACACUGAACAUUGAGCCUUGAUGUGUAGGAUAGGUGGGAGGCUUUGAAGUGUGGACGCCAGUCUGCAUGGAGCCGACCUUGAAAUACCACCCUUUAAUGUUUGAUGUUCUAACGUUGACCCGUUAUCCGGGUUGCGGACAGUGUCUGGUGGGUAGUUUGACUGGGGCGGUCUCCUCCUAAAGAGUAACGGAGGAGCACGAAGGUUGGCUAAUCCUGGUCGGACAUCAGGAGGUUAGUGCAAUGGCAUAAGCCAGCUUGACUGCGAGCGUGACGGCGCGAGCAGGUGCGAAAGCAGGUCAUAGUGAUCCGGUGGUUCUGAAUGGAAGGGCCAUCGCUCAACGGAUAAAAGGUACUCCGGGGAUAACAGGCUGAUACCGCCCAAGAGUUCAUAUCGACGGCGGUGUUUGGCACCUCGAUGUCGGCUCAUCACAUCCUGGGGCUGAAGUAGGUCCCAAGGGUAUGGCUGUUCGCCAUUUAAAGUGGUACGCGAGCUGGGUUUAGAACGUCGUGAGACAGUUCGGUCCCUAUCUGCCGUGGGCGCUGGAGAACUGAGGGGGGCUGCUCCUAGUACGAGAGGACCGGAGUGGACGCAUCACUGGUGUUCGGGUUGUCAUGCCAAUGGCACUGCCCGGUAGCUAAAUGCGGAAGAGAUAAGUGCUGAAAGCAUCUAAGCACGAAACUUGCCCCGAGAUGAGUUCUCCCUGACUCCUUGAGAGUCCUGAAGGAACGUUGAAGACGACGACGUUGAUAGGCCGGGUGUGUAAGCGCAGCGAUGCGUUGAGCUAACCGGUACUAAUGAACCGUGAGGCUUAACC